rnacentral:rRNA from 1 species
UACCAGCUCUCCGAGUGGUAGGGAUGAUUAUUGGGCUUAAAGCGUCCGUAGCCGGCUUAGCAAGUUUCCUGUUAAACUCAGCGACCUAAUCGUUGAGCCGCGGGAAAUACUACUAGGCUAGGAGGCGGGAGAGGUCGACGGUACUUCUGGGGUAGGGGUGAAAUCCUAUAAUCCCGGGAGGACCACCAGUGGCGAAGGCUGUCGACUAGAACGCGCUCGACGGUGAGGGACGAAAGCUGGGGGAGCGAACCGGAUUAGAUACCCGGGUAGUCCCAGCUGUAAACGAUGCGGGCUAGGUGUUGGGGUGGCUACGAGCUGCUCCAGUGCCGCAGAGAAGUCAUUAAGCCCGCCGCCUGGGAAGUACGGUCGCAAGACUGAAACUUAAAGGAAUUGGCGGGGAGCACCACAAGGGGUGAAGCCUGCGGUUC